GAACAGUGACGUUGGUAGUAAGUUCGCCAGGAACGGCUACGAUGUCAGUAAGUUUUCCAGCAUCAGGAAUGGACUGAGAUAGGAAAUUAGAGAAAUCGGCUCUAAUGAAGAACAAGGUGCCAUGCUAAACAUAUUGGAAGAAUUUAGAGAGAAAAUAAACAGGAACAAGAGACAGACUCAGAAUUCUGACUACUAUGGUAGACGGUGUGAUGUGGUUUGUUAUAUUUCAUGGUUCCCAUCUAUUACUGGGUACCCUGCUCACUAAACAGACCCAUGGAAUAUCUCUCUCUCUGGAGUGGGUAGCAUUUGGCUGCUGAGAUGGCUCAGUGGGUAAAGGCAUUUGCUGCAGAAGCCUGAUGACUUGCGUUCAAUCCCCAG